GAUCAUGGCCCAGAACGAACGCUGGCGGCGCGUUUAAGCAUGCAAGUCGAGCGGCAAGGGCCUUCGGGCCCCUAGAGCGGCGGACGGGUGAGUAACACGUGGACAAUCUGCCCCCGGCCCGGGAUAGCCCAGGGAAACCUGGAUUAAUACCGGAUGAGACGGGACCCGCGAUGGCGGGACCCGGGAAAGGCGCUGCGGCGCCGCCGGGGGAUGAGUCUGCGUCCCAUUAGCUAGACGGCGGGGUAACGGCCCACCGUGGCGACGAUGGGUAGCCGGCCUGAGAGGGUGGACGGCCACAUUGGAACUGAGACACGGUCCAGACUCCUACGGGAGGCAGCAGCUAAGAAUCUUCCGCAAUGGGCGAAAGCCUGACGGAGCGACGCCCGCGUGAACGAAGAAGGCCGUGAGGUUGUAAAGUUCUUUUCGGGAGGGGGAACAACCGUGGCAGGGAAUGGCCGCGGGAUGACGUGAAUCCCGGAAUAAGCCCCGGCUAGCUACGUGCCAGCCGCCGC
rnacentral:rRNA from 1 species